GGCGUAAGGGGCAGUAAGGCAUGGGGGUACCUACCUUUGGGUUCGGGAUAGCCAUCAGAGAUGGUGGGUAAUACCGGAUGACGUCGUGAGACCAAAGAUUUAUCGCCCGUAGAGGGGCCCAUGUGAUAUUAGCUAGUUGGUGGGGUAAAGGCCCACCAAGGCGAAGAUGUCUAGCGGGUGUGAGAGCACGACCCGCGCCACUCGCACUGAGACACUGGCGAGACACCUACGGGUGGCUGCAGUCGAGGAUCUUCGGCAAUGAGCGCAAGCUUGACCGAGCGACGCCGCGUGAGCGAUGAAGGCCUUCGGGUUGUAAAGCUCUUUAGUGGGGGAGAAAAGCCGCAAGGUGUGAUCUAUCCCAAAAAUAAGCACGGGCUAAGUUCGUGCCAGCAGCCGCGGUAAGACGAACCGUGCGAACGUUAUUCGGAAUCACUGGGCUUAAAGGGCGCGUAGGCGGGCUGUCAAGUCUGGGGUGAAAUCCCACGGUUCAACCGUGGAACUGCCUCAGAUACUGGACGGCCUCGAGGAAGGUAGGGGCAUGCGGAACUGUAGGUGGAGCGGUGAAAUGCGUUGAUAUC
rnacentral:rRNA from 1 species